rnacentral:rRNA from 1 species
UACGUAGGGUGCAAGCGUUAAUCGGAAUUACUGGGCGUAAAGCGUGCGCAGGCGGUGAUGUAAGACAGAUGUGAAAUCCCCGGGCUCAACCUGGGAACUGCAUUUGUGACUGCAUCGCUGGAGUGCGGCAGAGGGGGAUGGAAUUCCGCGUGUAGCAGUGAAAUGCGUAAGAUGACGGAGGAGACACCGAUGGCGAAGGCAAUCCCCUGGGCCUGCACUGACGCUCAUGCACGAAAGCGUGGGGAGCAAACAGG